rnacentral:rRNA from 1 species
CCUACGGGAGGCAGCAGUGGGGAAUAUUGGACAAUGGGCGAAAGCCUGAUCCAGCCAUGCCGCGUGUGUGAAGAAGGUCUUCGGAUUGUAAAGCACUUUAAGUUGGGAGGAAGGGCAUUAACUUAAUACGUUAGUGUUUUGACGUUACCGACAGAAUAAGCACCG